rnacentral:misc_RNA from 1 species
GGAAUCUUCCGCAAUGGGCGAAAGCCUGACGGAGCAACGCCGCGUGAGUGAUGAAGGUUUUCGGAUCGUAAAGCUCUGUUGCCAGGGAAGAACGUCUUGUAGAGUAACUGCUACAAGAGUGACGGUACCUGAGAAGAAAGCCCCGGCUAACUACGUGCCAGCAGCCGCGGUAAUACGUAGGGGGCAAGCGUUGUCCGGAAUUAUUGGGCGUAAAGCGCGCGCAGGCGGCUCUUUAAGUCUGGUGUUUAAUCCCGAGGCUCAACUUCGGGUCGCACUGGAAACUGGAGAGCUUGAGUGCAGAAGAGGAGAGUGGAAUUCCACGUGUAGCGGUGAAAUGCGUAGAGAUGUGGAGGAACACCAGUGGCGAAGGCGACUCUCUGGGCUGUAACUGACGCUGAGGCGCGAAAGCGUGGGGAGCAAACAGGA